rnacentral:rRNA from 1 species
UACGUAGGAGGCAAGCGUUGUCCGGAAUUACUGGGCGUAAAGCGUGCGCAGGCGGUUUUGUAAGUCAGAUGUGAAAUCCCCGGGCUCAACCUGGGAACUGCGUUUGAAACUACAAGGCUAGAGUGUGGCAGAGGGGGGUGGAAUUCCACGUGUAGCAGUGAAAUGCGUAGAGAUGUGGAGGAACACCGAUGGCGAAGGCAGCCCCCUGGGUCGACACUGACGCUCAGGCACGAAAGCGUGGGGAGCAAACAGG